GGCUAACCUGCCCUUGGGACAGGGGUAACCCCGGGAAACUGGGGCUAAUCCCUGAUAGGUGAGGGCUCCUGGAAUGGGCCCUUGCCGAAAGGGCGCCUGGACCAUGCCUCUAGGCGCCGCCCAAGGAUGGGGCCGCGGCCGAUCAGGUAGUUGGUGAGGUAACGGCUCACCAAGCCUAUAACCGGUGCGGGCCGUGGGAGCGGGAGCCCGGAGAUGGGCACUGAGACAAGGGCCCAGGCCCUACGGGGCGCAGCAGUCGCGAAACCUCCGCAAUGCGCGAAAGCGCGACGGGGCCAUCCCGAGUGCCGCCCGCUGAGGGCGGCUUUUCCCCGGUGUAGACAGCCGGGGGAAUAAGGGGAGGGCAAGCCGGGUGUCAGCCGCCGCGGUAAUACCCGCUCCCCGAGUGGUGGGGACGCUUAUUGGGCCUAAAGCAUCCGUAGCCGGCCAGGCAAGUCCCCUGUUAAAUCCAGCGAUUCAAUCGCUGGCCUGCGGGGGAUACUGCCUGGCUAGGGGGCGGGAGAGGCCGGCGGUAUUCCCGGGGUAGGGGUGAAAUCCUAUAAUCCCGGGAGGACCACCAGUGGCGAAGGCUGCCGGCUAGAACGCGCCCGACGGUGAGGGAUGAAAGCUGGGGGAGCGAACCGGAUUAGAUACCCGGGUAGUCCCAGCUGUAAACGAUGCGGGCUAGGUGUUGGCACGGCUACGAGCCGUGUCAGUGCCGCAGGGAAGCCGUUAAGCCUGCCGCCUGGGGAGUACGGCCGCAAGGCUGAAACU
rnacentral:rRNA from 1 species